AGAGUUUGAUCCUGGCUCAGAUUAAACGCUGGCGGCAUGCCUUACACAUGCAAGUCGAACGGCAGCACGGGGGCAACCCUGGUGGCGAGUGGCGAACGGGUGAGUAAAGCAUCGGAACGUGCCCUGGAGUGGGGGAUAACGUAGCGAAAGUUACGCUAAUACCGCAUAUUCUGUGAGCAGGAAAGCAGGGGAUCGCAAGACCUUGCGCUCUGGGAGCGGCCGAUGUCGGAUUAGCUAGUUGGUGGGGUAAAGGCCUACCAAGGCGACGAUCCGUAGCGGGUCUGAGAGGAUGAUCCGCCACACUGGGACUGAGACACGGCCCAGACUCCUACGGGAGGCAGCAGUGGGGAAUUUUGGACAAUGGGCGAAAGCCUGAUCCAGCCAUGCCGCGUGAGUGAAGAAGGCCUUCGGGUUGUAAAGCUCUUUCGGUGGGGAAGAAAUUGCAUAGGCUAAUACCCUAUGUAGAUGACGGUACCUGGAGAAGAAGCACCGGCUAACUACGUG
rnacentral:rRNA from 1 species